UGAUCCAGAGUGUCUGCCCGCUCGGUCGACCUCACCCCCCUCACGAGGAGCCGACAACAGCAUUCCAGCUCGUGCCGCGUGUCCCAGUCAGCGUGACAGCCAGCUAGUGUGGAACGCCUCGUUCUGAGUGUUUUAUCGGCCACGAGGAGAAAGUAGAAGGAUGGACCCGCUGGUUGCUGCCAUUGACCAGGGCACGAGCUCGACGAGGUUUCUGGUGUUCAAUGCAAAAACAGCCGAACUGAUAAGUCACCACCAAGUAGAGAUCAACCAGAGCUUCCCCAAGGAGGGCUGGGUGGAGGAGGACCCCAAGGAGAUAAUGCAGUCUGUCUAUGAGUGCAUGGAGAGGACUUGUGAGAAACUCUGCCAGCUCAACGUCGACAUCUCCAACAUAAAAGCGGUGGGGGUGACCAACCAGAGAGAGACCACCCUGGUUUGGGACAAAGUGACCGGAGAGCCACUCUACAAUGCCAUUGUUUGGCUGGACCUGCGCACUCAGUCAACAGUGGAGCGGCUCAUCAGCAAAACUCCGGGACAAAACAAGAACCAUUUCAAGCACAAGACGGGCCUUCCCAUCAGUACCUACUUCAGUGCAGUGAAGCUACGCUGGCUGCUGGACAACGUGGACGAAGUGCGACAGGCAGUGCUAAGUGAGCGUGCCAUGUUUGGGACGGUGGACUCCUGGAUUAUAUGGUGCCUGACGGGGGGCAGGAACGGAGGGGUCCACUGUACAGACGUCUCAAAUGCCAGUCGCACCAUGCUCUUUAACAUUCACACCAUGGACUGGGAUCCUGAACUCUGCAGGUACUUUGAUGUCCCGAUGGAAAUCCUCCCCAAAGUCAGAAGCUCCUCUGAAAUAUACGGCUGGAUGAACUCCGGCCCUCUCGCAGCAGUUCCCAUCUCAGGGUGUCUUGGGGACCAGUCGGCUGCCUUGGUUGGUCAGAUGUGCUUCAAGGAAGGCCAGGCCAAAAACACGUACGGGACUGGUUGCUUCCUGCUCCGAAAUACAGGGACCAAGCUUGUGAUGUCAGACCACGGCCUGCUCACCACAGUAGCCUACAAGCUGGGAAAAGACGAGCCUGCCUGCUAUGCAUUGGAGGGUUCAGUGGCCAUCGCAGGGGCUGUGGUACGGUGGCUGAAGGACAACAUGGGCAUUGUGCAGUCUUCCUCAGAGAUCGAGAAACUAGCAGCUGCAGCAGGCACGUCUUACGGCUGUUACUUUGUGCCGGCUUUCUCCGGGCUCUAUGCCCCCUACUGGGAGCCCAGUGCAAGAGGCAUCAUCUGUGGGCUCACUCAGUUCACCAACAGGAGCCACUUGGCGUUUGCAGCCCUUGAGGCUGUCUGCUUUCAAACCAGAGAGAUCCUUGAUGCAAUGAACCAGGACAGCGGCAUCCCCCUGACGCAGCUGCAGGUGGAUGGAGGCAUGACGUCCAACAGAUUACUGAUGCAGCUGCAGGCCGACAUCCUCUGCAUUCCCGUAGUGCGACCCACCAUGUCAGAGACAACAGCUCUGGGUGCAGCCAUGGCAGCGGGGGCAGCAGAGGGGGUGGAAGUGUGGAGCCUGAGCCCCGGGCACCUCCCACAGGUCACGAGUGAGAAGUAUGAGCCGCAGAUCAACUGUGACGAGAGCGAGUUCCGCUUUGCUCGGUGGAAGAAAGCCGUCCAGAGAGCCAUGAACUGGGAGACCACAGAGCCUUGCUUCAAUGCCAACGGUUUAGGAAAGAAGAUGAACGGCGCCCCCUGGGGGGUCCCUCCCACCCCGCCACCCACCAGAGCGGACCCCUAAGUAAGGGUGUGGUGCUCUGUCAUUAGCUCAGCUGCUGUUGAAGGUUUAAGAUGGGUUUAAACCAGGGUUGCCCCACUGCUGUGUCCUUGCAAGCUGAGAUCACAAGCAGUAAUCGUGGUCCAAGACCUUCAUGGGGAACAUGGCAAAGCCUACUGUGGAGCAACACUAGAAGAGCAAUGUGCUCGUAUCCCAUGGAUGUGACGUGACUGAAAACAGUGAUCAUUAACCUGAAGUGCCAGCUGGACUGAAGACACAACAUGAUGCUUUUUAAAGCAACUAUGGAACCAUCGUGUCUGGAAUUUCUUAGGCUUCCUUUUCUGAAAAAGGGAAAGUUUCUUAAACUUUUUAACCUGACCAUGAAUUUGCCUUCUUCAACCUGUACAGUAAAGCAUAGGAACAUCAGGUGUUCAGUCUAAAGUAAAGAGCAGCACUUCUGUACCACAACAGGAUGCUGUACUGUUUGCUUUUCCAUUUGUUCUGUACAUAGUGUUUGUACUUUUUUCUUCUACACUUUGGAAUGCACAAGAUCCAAACAUCUAAGCAGAUGUUACGCAUGUUAUGUGACUAAUUCAGUUUUGGAAAGUGGUCACUGCUCACCUUCCUUCCUGUGAAGUGGGGUUUGUUUUUGUUGGAACUUAAGAGGAAUGUCCCUGCAGUCAAAGGUUUCAUGAGAUGUUUAAAAAAAAGUAAUUUAUUGGAUGAUUUAACGAUGAGCUUCAACAUUUUGGAAUGAGGGAGAAAGUGUUAAUGUUUUGACGGCUUUCCCCCUAUGCAGAAUUGACAGACACUUUGCAGGCUCUCACCAGCACUUUAUAAUUUAUCCUGUGUAUGGAGAUGAUUGUAGGAGCCAUGCAGGGUUUUUAAAGGGAAUAGCUUUUUUAUCCCAUUUUUUAGGAGGGAAUUUUAAUCCUCACAAUCCUCCUCAAUCAAUCCACAGAUACAACAGAUUAAGAUAAGGCAAAACAAUAAAGUACAUUUUGAUUCUGUUCAUAAACAAUGUAUAUUUCUUCAGUCAUACGGAACCACAUGCUUUUAGAUCCGAGCCAUGGUACUGACCACUGACAAGUCACUUUAAUUCAGAAUGAAGACGCAUCAAGAUUAAGAUCCAUUCUGUGAAAAUGGAACGUUUGGUUACUGUAUUCAUUUCUGGGGACUGAUAACUGAUCAUUCUGAUAGGGAUUUACUUUAAAGGGUGUUUUCCACAUUGUAAGAUCCUAUUUGUAUACCUGCCAGUUGAAAUUUGUUUGACAUGAUGUGUAGCAAGAGCGCUUGGCUCUGCGGGAAUGUAUAAGAGGCUGUAAUUACUGUAGAACCUGACUUGAAUAAUAAAAAUGUGUCAGCACUUAAAA